GGAGAUGAAGCAAAAAUAUAUUUAAUACCGAAAUUAAUUUAUACAUACGUUAAAACACGAUAUGUUUAAAAUUGCAAAGAUUGAUAACCUUUGCAUAUUAUACCCACGGGAUUAUUUAUUAAAGAAAAUAUGGGGAGGGAACUUCACUCGGUCGGCCAACUGAAAUACUAAGAUUCUCGCAAAUACAGUUGUUUUCUGAUUAAGAAAUGUUGGUUUCAACGCAUUGCAGCAACAUGAUUUCUCUUCCAUUUCAGAGUUUGGCUCAUCUCCUCUGUUGCUUCAGUGAUUCUCCAAGGUAAGUUGUACUUGGCCAUUCUUCUCUUCCUUGCUUCCACUCCAAUUUUGUCUCCAUGAUCCUUGAGGCAGAGGCCAUCAUAAACAUCACAAAUGGGAUAGUCCGCUGGGCAGCAAUAGUUUGAUCCAUCACAACAAACACCGUUCUCAUAGGGGCAGCAACCCUGCUCUAAGCACAAGCCUGAGAACUCUAACACACAGCAGCAUGUUUGGUCUCCUGGACAGUAACUGAAGUCUCCACAUUCACUUGGUUUUGGAGUAGGCGGUGGAGGGGAUGGCGGGGGAGGUGGUGGCAUGGCUGGAGACGGAUAAGGAGAUGGUGAUGAUUCUUUCGUUGGGUAUGAAGCCAAUGAAUUAAUGGCACAAACCCCAUAUGGCAAAUUAGUGUUCCUUCUUAUAUAUCCAUACCCUUCCAUUCCCCACUCUGUACCCCAUGAGUUCUUGAUAAUCCAAUAGUCAUCAUAUCCAUCAGAAUCAUAUCCAACUAUUACUACUCCGUGGGAGACCUUAUUUGGAUCAUCAGAGCAUUCUCCAUCAUAUAUUCCCCCUAGGUAUAGUUGAAAAUCAGGGCUGCUUCCGUCGAUGGCCACACUAACAGGUUGUUGAGCAGCAGCACAAAGAAGUGCACUUUCCUCCUUUGGAACAUCUCGGUAUCCAUCAAUUGUUACAACCUUAUGGUUCACCUUGUUGUAAUUGCAAUGGCCUUGAGAAUGGGCAGUGUAUGCAUAAUCAGCUGCUGAAUCAAUGCCGCCGUUGUUUAUCACCCAUUCAAAAGCAGGGUCCAUAAGUCCACCUUUACAGCCACUAUUGUUUGAAGUAUCACAAUCAAUAAGUUCUUGUUCAGAAAGGCUAAUAAGUUCACCAGCAACUAUUGCAUUUAUUCCCUCCAUGGCUCCAGACGCCGAGAAUGCCCAACAAGCUCCACAUUGUCCUUGGUCCUUCACCUUAGUGACAGCCCCAUGUUUCCUCCAGUCCAUUGAAGGAGGAGCAUCACAAGAAAAUGAAGUUGUUUCUUUUUCCGCUACCUUCAUCCGAAUAGUCUUUCUCUUGUUAAAGGGUAUCUUAAUCUUGGAAGUAUGAACUUGUCUAAACUCUUCAUUGCUCAUAUCAGCAAAUUUUGUCAAACCAACCAAAUAGUCUGAAUCUGAUUUCCUCUUGGAGUUCUUUUCCACUAUAUACUUCACAUUCCUUUUAAAAUUCUCCAACUUCAUUUCUUCCUCUUUCUUGUUCAUGUAAACUUUUCCAUGCUUCUGUUUCCAUUCUUGGAAGAGUUGGAACACUGUUUCUUCUGAAAGAGGCUCAGUUGGUCUUUCUAGUAUUGGAAAAUCAGUGGUAAAAGAAGAAACUUGAGAUGAUAAUGCACCAAAGAUCAAGAAAAGUGGGAUAAGGAAAAGGAAGAGAGGAGGACUCUGUUUGCUUCCCAUUUUUCAGUUACAUUAAACAGUUAUUGACUUUGUGAUCAUUCUAGGCCUGAUCUCAUUGUUUUAUAGAUCUAGCAAAAGAGUAAGUUACGUAUACGGAUAGUAUAAAUAAUUUUUUCACUAUCAAGAUCACAUUAUUUUUAGUUGUAACACAAAAAUACAUCAUAUUGUCAAGAUUUUACAUUCCACAUUUUUAGGAGACCUACCUAUAUAGAUAUCUUUAGAUACCCUGAUGGUAUAAAAAAAAUAUUUACAUCGCGAUUCCAAUAACUCUACGUAGGUUACAUACAUGAAAAACUGUGCUAGCUUUUUUCAGCUAUAUAUGGUUUGAACUUCAAAGUGAUGAUUGAGGAAGGGUACAAUGGUAGGUGUGGCU
rnacentral:misc_RNA from 1 species